GAUGAAGAACGCAGCGAAAUGCGAUAAGUAGUGUGAAUUGCAGAAUUCAGUGAAUCAUCGAGUCUUUGAACGCACAUUGCGCCCCCUGGUAUUCCGGGGGGCACGCCUGUCCGAGCGUCAUUGCUGCCCUCAAGCACGGCUUGUGUGUUGGGCCUCCGUCCUCCUCCCGGGGGACGGGCCCGAAAGGCAGCGGCGGCACCGCGUCCGGUCCUCGAGCGUAUGGGGCUUCGUCACCCGCUCUUGUAGGCCCGGCCGGCGCUUGCCGACACAUCAAUCUUUUUUCCAGGUUGACCUCGGAUCAGGUAGGGAUACCCGCUGAACUUAAGCAUAUCAAUAAGCGGAGGA
rnacentral:misc_RNA from 1 species